rnacentral:rRNA from 1 species
CGCCUGUUUAUUAAAAACAUGGUUUUUAAUAUUAAAUUGAAAAUUAGGCCUGCCCACUGAUUGAAAAAAUUAAAUGGCCGCAGUAUUUUAACUGUGNUAAGGUAGCAUAAUCAUUAGGUUUUUAAUUGAUAUCUAGAAUGAAAGGUUUGAUGAAAUAAAUGCUUUUUUUAAAAAAAUUAUUGAAUUUUAAGUUUUAGUUAGAAUGCUAAAUUAUUAAUAUGGGACGAGAAGACCCUAUAGAAUUUUAUAAUUAAUUUAUAAUUUUUAUUUAAUUAUUAUUAUUAUUAUAAAUAAAUUUAUUUGAUUGGGGUGAUUAUUAAAAUUUUUUAACUUUAAGAAUUUAUUUUCAUAAAUUAAUGUAUUUUUGAUCUUUUUUUAUUGAUUAAUAAAUUAAAUUGCCUUAGGGAUAACAGCACAAUAUUUUUAAAAAGUU